CUAUACUUAAACUAGUAUUUCCUGUUGGUGAUGAAGAAACACAUCAGAGGCAUAGUUUUAAAGUCAAUAUUUUAAUGAAGAGAGUCGAUUGAUACCAUACCACCGAGUUAUGGUAAUAGGUGCCAGGCGCACCGGUUUGAGUGUGUCAAGAACUGCAACGCUGCUGGGUUUUCCCACAUUCAACAGUUUCCCGUGUGUAUGAAGAAUGGUCCACCACCCAAAGGACAUCCAGCCUUGACACUUGACACCACUGUGGGAAGCAUUGGAGUCAACAUGGGCCAACAUCCCUGUUGAAUCUAGACACAAAUUACAUUUAGAGUUGUGAAUAUUAUUCAUCAGUUCAUCUAACAGAUCAGUCAGGUAGAGCCACGCUCAGACUUGGGAAGGUCCGCUUGAAAUGGAAUUAAAAAUCAAUUCCUUGUAUAAAUGGCUGCCAACCUCUACUGUGAGGAGUCAGAGACAUCUCAGACUUGCAUGCAUUUUGAAUGGUUUCAUAAGUCUCAUAAUAAUUGUUUACACAAUAUACUGACCAUUAUAAAGAAACAACUGGAUCUCUAAGUACAUAUAUUAAAUAUAUAAUAAAUCAUUUAUACACCUACUAUUGUCUAACAAAGUUACUUAUUUUUCAUUUUCUUUACAAAUAUUUACCUUUCAUUUCCCAUUGUCAGUGAUAAGGCAGUACUCAUCUCUAUAUUAUGGGGCUGGUUGUCAUAAGGCAGUACUCCUCUCUAUAUUAUGGGGCUGGUUGUCAUAAGGCAGUACUCCUCUCUACAUUAUGGGGCUGGUUGUCAUAAGGCAGUACUCCUCUCUAUAUUAUGGGGCUGGUUGUCAUAAGGCAGUACUCCUCUCUACAUUAUGGGGCUGGUUGUGAUAAGGCAGAACUCAUCUCUACAUUAUGGGGCUGGUUGUGAUAAGGCAGUACUCAUCUCUACAUUAUGGGACUGGUUGUCAUAAGGCAGUACUCCUCUCUAUAUUAUGGGGCUGGUUGUGAUAAGGCAGUACUCAUCUCUGCAUUAUGGGGCUGGUUGUCAUAAGGCAGUACUCCUCUCUAUAUUAUGGGGCUGGUUGUGAUAAGGCAGUACUCACCUCUGCAUUAUGGGGCUGGUUGUGAUAAGGCAGUACUCAUCUCUGCAUUAUGGGACUGGUUGUGAUAAGGCAGUACUCAUCUCUAUAUUAUGGGGCUGGUUGUGAUAAGGCAGUACUCAUCUCUGCAUUAUGGGACUGGUUGUGAUAAGGCAGUACUCAUCUCUAUAUUAUGGGGCUGGUUGUGAUAAGGCAGUACUCACCUCUGCAUUAUGGGGCUGGUUGUGAUAAGGCAGUACUUACCUCUGCAUUAUGGAGCUGGUUGUGAUAAGGCAGUACUCACCUCUAUAUUAUGGGGCUGGUUGUGAUAAGGCAGUACUCAUCUCUAUAUUAUGGGGCUGGUUGUGAGAGAUGGAUGGAGGAAGAGAUGGAAGGAUGGAGGAUGAGAUGGAGGGAUGAGGGAGAGAUGGAGAGAUAUAAAGAGAGGGGGAUUACAGUAAGGUUAAGGAAGCAUGUUGAGAGAUAAAUUUGAUAAAUAUGUCCCUUGAGGUGUGAGGGGGAGAGGGAUGGAAGGAGACAGAAGGAUGCAGAGAGAGAUGACGAGGGACAGAGGGAGAUGACGAGGGACAGAGGGAGAUGACGAGGGACAGAGGGAGAUGACGAGGGACAGAGAGAGAUGACGAGGGACAGAGGGAGAUGACGAGGGACAGAGAGAGAUGACGAGGGACAGAGGGAGAUGACGAGGGACAGAGAGAGAUGACGAGGGACAGAGGGAGAUGACGAGGGAAAGAGAGAGAUGACGAGGGACAGAGAGAGAAGACGAGGGACAGAGGGAGAUGACGAGGGACAGAGGGAGAUGACGAGGGAAAGAUAGAGAUGACGAGGGACAGAGGGAGAUGACGAGGCACAGAGGGAGAUGACGAGGGAAAGAGAGAUAGAGGGAAAGGUGGUAAGAUGUUGCUGGAGGUUUGAAUGGGAGUAAGAGAGAAGAUGGAGGGAGGAAGAGAGAUGACAGAGGGAGGAAUAUGGAGGGAGGAAGGGAGAUGACAGAGGGAGGAAGAUGGAGGGAUGAAAGGAGAUGACAGAGGGAGGAAGAUGGAGGGAUGAAGGGAGAUGACAGAGGGAGGAAGAUGGAGGGAUGAAGGGAGAUGACAGAGGGAGGAAGAUGGAGGGAUGAAGGGAGAUGACAGAGGGAGGAAGAUGGAGGGAUGAAGGGAGAGACAUCAGGCGUUGUGGGGGCACUAGAGCGUAGUUUCCUGUCAACAAAGUUUAGUCUGAAGACCUUUCUUCGUAUCCUGUUGUAUAUUUUAUUAUAGGGAACACAGUCUAUAUAUCCUGUUGUAUAUUAUAUUAUAGGGAACACAGUCUAUAUAUCCUGUUGUAUAUUAUAUUAUAGAGAACACAGUCUAUAUAUCCUGUUGUAUAUUAUAUUAUAGGGAACACAGUCUAUAUAUCCUGUUGUAUAUUAUAUUAUAGAGAACACAGUCUAUAUAUCCUGUUGUAUAUUUUAUUAUAGGGAACACAGUCUAUAUAUCCUGUUGUAUAUUAUAUUAUAGGGAACACAGUCUAUAUAUCCUGUUGUAUAUUAUAUUAUAGAGAACACAGUCUAUAUAUCCUGUUGUA
rnacentral:lncRNA from 1 species